GACGAACGCUGGCGGCGUGCUUAACACAUGCAAGUCGAGCGGAGCGGAGAACGGGUGAGUAACGCGUGAGUAACUGCCCCCCUCCCUGGGAUAACAGUUGGACACGGCUGCUAAUACCGGAUAGUGGGGGAUGACUCGCGUCCUAUCCGCUUUUUGGUGGGGUAGUGGCCUACCAAGGCGACGACGGGUAGCCGUCCUGAGAGGGCGACCGGCCACAUUGGGCUAAGUUACGGCCCAGACUCCUACGAGAGGCAGCUGUGGGGUAUAUUGCACAAUGGGCGAAAGCCUGAUUCAACGACGCCGCGUGUGGAAUGAAGGCUUUCGGGUUGUAAACCUCUUUCGCUAUGACGAGGUGGGUGGAGAAGAAGCACCGGCUAACUACGUGCCAGCAGCCGAGGUAAUUC
rnacentral:rRNA from 1 species